AUCGUCUGAAACAAUAUAGGCAAAAAAAGUAUGGGCGAAGUUGCUUGCUGAACAAUAUAAGCAAAGCGAUAAAGCUUAAAAAAAUUGUACAGAGACAAGAAAGAGCACGGAACAGUCAGGGAAGCCUUCAUGACUGACUGGAAGAUGUCAAGAGAGGGAGAAAGCGGGAAGUGUUUGCAGCUUACCCAGUCACAGAAGCAUUGGCUUAGCUGUAGGCUCUGAUGCUCUUCAAGUUGAAGAGACAAAUGCUGGAGUAUGCAAAAAGAAGUAAUUUAUUAAGCUAAGCACACUGGAAGGUGAAUGAAGAUAGUGAUACAGCAGGUCCAGGAAUGUCUGAGGUGAUGCUGUUAAAAACAUAGGGAAGACAGGUAAAGAGGAGGUCAAGUCUGUAUGCUACAAAAAUGGUUGUAUGUACAUAUAUAAACAUGUCAGACGAAGUGAAGAAUGAGAGGUCACUACAUGUGGACUACAAGAUGGCUCCCAAAAGCAAGGUGAAAAGUGAGUCUUGACAGAAUUAAUAAAGAGGGAUGAAGCUUCAGGUCUCAAGGCUCCAAGAUAUUGCAACUACUACAAACCAGAACCUCAAAUUCAACUGCUCGAAGGUUCACCGGGAUCCUGUAAAGGUCAGAUAGAUUA